rnacentral:rRNA from 1 species
GUCUUUUUGAUUUAUAUAUAAAGUUUGACCUGCCCACUGAAAAUUUUAAAUGGCUGCAGUAAUUUGACUGUACAAAGGUAGCAUAAUCAUUAGUUUUUUAAUUAAAAGCUUGUAUGAAAGGUUGGACGAAGUAAAAUCUGUCUCUUUUUAAUAUAAUUAGAAUUUAAUUUUUAAGUAAAAAAGCUUAAAUUUUUAUAAAAGACGAGAAGACCCUAUAGAGUUUAAUAAUUUUAAUAAAAUAUUUAAUUAAGAUUUAUUAAUUUUAUUUAAUUAAAAUUAUUUUAUUGGGGUAAUAAAAAGAUUAAAAAAAUUCUUUUUUUUUAAUACAUUAAUUUAUGAAUAUAUGAUCCAUUUGUAGUGAUUAAAAGAUUAAAUUACCUUAGGGAUAACAGCGUAAUUUUUUUAAAGAGUUCUUAUCGAUAAAAAAGUUUGCGACCUCGAUGUUGGAUUAAAGAUUAAUUUAGGUGUAGAAGUUUAAAUUUUUGGUCUGUUCGACCAUUAAAUCUUUACAUGAUCUGAGUUCAAACCGGUGUAAGCCAGGUUGGUUUCUAUCUUUAUUAAUUUUUUAUAUUUUAGUACGAAAGGACCAAAUAUAAAAUAUAUAAAUAUUUUUAUUUUGAAUAUUAUU